GGGUUGUGAGGUUAAGCGACUAAGCGUACACGGUGGAUGCCCUGGCAGUCAGAGGCGAUGAAGGACGUGCUAAUCUGCGAUAAGCGUCGGUAAGGUGAUAUGAACCGUUAUAACCGGCGAUUUCCGAAUGGGGAAACCCAGUGUGUUUCGACACACUAUCAUUAACUGAAUCCAUAGGUUAAUGAGGCGAACCGGGGGAACUGAAACAUCUAAGUACCCCGAGGAAAAGAAAUCAACCGAGAUUCCCCCAGUAGCGGCGAGCGAACGGGGAGCAGCCCAGAGCCUGAAUCAGUGUGUGUGUUAGUGGAAGCGUCUGGAAAGGCGCGCGAUACAGGGUGACAGCCCCGUACACAAAAAUGCACAUGCUGUGAGCUCGAUGAGUAGGGCGGGACACGUGGUAUCCUGUCUGAAUAUGGGGGGACCAUCCUCCAAGGCUAAAUACUCCUGACUGACCGAUAGUGAACCAGUACCGUGAGGGAAAGGCGAAAAGAACCCCGGCGAGGGGAGUGAAAAAGAACCUGAAACCGUGUACGUACAAGCAGUGGGAGCACGCUUCGGCGUGUGACUGCGUACCUUUUGUAUAAUGGGUCAGCGACUUAUAUUCUGUAGCAAGGUUAACCGAAUAGGGGAGCCGAAGGGAAACCGAGUCUUAACUGGGCGUUAAGUUGCAGGGUAUAGACCCGAAACCCGGUGAUCUAGCCAUGGGCAGGUUGAAGGUUGGGUAACACUAACUGGAGGACCGAACCGACUAAUGUUGAAAAAUUAGCGGAUGACUUGUGGCUGGGGGUGAAAGGCCAAUCAAACCGGGAGAUAGCUGGUUCUCCCCGAAAGCUAUUUAGGUAGCGCCUCGUGAAUUCAUCUCCGGGGGUAGAGCACUGUUUCGGCAAGGGGGUCAUCCCGACUUACCAACCCGAUGCAAACUGCGAAUACCGGAGAAUGUUAUCACGGGAGACACACGGCGGGUGCUAACGUCCGUCGUGAAGAGGGAAACAACCCAGACCGCCAGCUAAGGUCCCAAAGUCAUGGUUAAGUGGGAAACGAUGUGGGAAGGCCCAGACAGCCAGGAUGUUGGCUUAGAAGCAGCCAUCAUUUAAAGAAAGCGUAAUAGCUCACUGGUCGAGUCGGCCUGCGCGGAAGAUGUAACGGGGCUAAACCAUGCACCGAAGCUGCGGCAGCGACGCUUAUGCGUUGUUGGGUAGGGGAGCGUUCUGUAAGCCUGUGAAGGUGUGCUGUGAGGCAUGCUGGAGGUAUCAGAAGUGCGAAUGCUGACAUAAGUAACGAUAAAGCGGGUGAAAAGCCCGCUCGCCGGAAGACCAAGGGUUCCUGUCCAACGUUAAUCGGGGCAGGGUGAGUCGACCCCUAAGGCGAGGCCGAAAGGCGUAGUCGAUGGGAAACAGGUUAAUAUUCCUGUACUUGGUGUUACUGCGAAGGGGGGACGGAGAAGGCUAUGUUGGCCGGGCGACGGUUGUCCCGGUUUAAGCGUGUAGGCUGGUUUUCCAGGCAAAUCCGGAAAAUCAAGGCUGAGGCGUGAUGACGAGGCACUACGGUGCUGAAGCAACAAAUGCCCUGCUUCCAGGAAAAGCCUCUAAGCAUCAGGUAACAUCAAAUCGUACCCCAAACCGACACAGGUGGUCAGGUAGAGAAUACCAAGGCGCUUGAGAGAACUCGGGUGAAGGAACUAGGCAAAAUGGUGCCGUAACUUCGGGAGAAGGCACGCUGAUAUGUAGGUGAAGCGACUUGCUCGUGGAGCUGAAAUCAGUCGAAGAUACCAGCUGGCUGCAACUGUUUAUUAAAAACACAGCACUGUGCAAACACGAAAGUGGACGUAUACGGUGUGACGCCUGCCCGGUGCCGGAAGGUUAAUUGAUGGGGUCAGCGCAAGCGAAGCUCUUGAUCGAAGCCCCGGUAAACGGCGGCCGUAACUAUAACGGUCCUAAGGUAGCGAAAUUCCUUGUCGGGUAAGUUCCGACCUGCACGAAUGGCGUAAUGAUGGCCAGGCUGUCUCCACCCGAGACUCAGUGAAAUUGAACUCGCUGUGAAGAUGCAGUGUACCCGCGGCAAGACGGAAAGACCCCGUGAACCUUUACUAUAGCUUGACACUGAACAUUGAGCCUUGAUGUGUAGGAUAGGUGGGAGGCUUAGAAGUGUGGACGCCAGUCUGCAUGGAGCCGACCUUGAAAUACCACCCUUUAAUGUUUGAUGUUCUAACGUUGACCCGUAAUCCGGGUUGCGGACAGUGUCUGGUGGGUAGUUUGACUGGGGCGGUCUCCUCCUAAAGAGUAACGGAGGAGCACGAAGGUUGGCUAAUCCUGGUCGGACAUCAGGAGGUUAGUGCAAUGGCAUAAGCCAGCUUGACUGCGAGCGUGACGGCGCGAGCAGGUGCGAAAGCAGGUCAUAGUGAUCCGGUGGUUCUGAAUGGAAGGGCCAUCGCUCAACGGAUAAAAGGUACUCCGGGGAUAACAGGCUGAUACCGCCCAAGAGUUCAUAUCGACGGCGGUGUUUGGCACCUCGAUGUCGGCUCAUCACAUCCUGGGGCUGAAGUAGGUCCCAAGGGUAUGGCUGUUCGCCAUUUAAAGUGGUACGCGAGCUGGGUUUAGAACGUCGUGAGACAGUUCGGUCCCUAUCUGCCGUGGGCGCUGGAGAACUGAGGGGGGCUGCUCCUAGUACGAGAGGACCGGAGUGGACGCAUCACUGGUGUUCGGGUUGUCAUGCCAAUGGCACUGCCCGGUAGCUAAAUGCGGAAGAGAUAAGUGCUGAAAGCAUCUAAGCACGAAACUUGCCCCGAGAUGAGUUCUCCCUGACCCUUUAAGGGUCCUGAAGGAACGUUGAAGACGACGACGUUGAUAGGCCGGGUGUGUAAGCGCAGCGAUGCGUUGAGCUAACCGGUACUAAUGAACCGUGAGGCUUAACCUUACAACGCCGAAGCUGUU
rnacentral:rRNA from 1 species